rnacentral:tRNA from 1 species
GGGCGGAUAGCUCAGCGGUAGAGCGGCGCCUUUACACGGCGCGGGUCGCAGGUUCGAACCCUGUUCCGCCUA